GAGUAGCAGCACACCACAAACCCCCUGCCCCCUUCUCUCUCGAUCAGCCUAUCUCCGGUGACGGCCGCUCUCCGACAACCGCGCCCCACACAACUCAUUUCAUACCUUCUUUAUUAUUAUUACACAAAUAGAGAGAUCUUUGCUCAAACGCCGUUAGGAUCAAUGGCGAGGGUAACACAUCUGUCCACCCACUCAUCUCUUCUUAUUUUUAUUUUGGUUUUGAUUAUGUCUUCAAUGUAUAUCAUAAAACCAUGUUGUAUUCAUCUUUGUUGAUGAAAUAAAGUCUUGUUGCUUUUAUUUUGAUACUCAUCGAGGAGAUUGGAUGUUGUCAUGCCAACCUGCAAAGAAAGCGUGGCGACGUAGACGGCAGUCGGACUGACGACCAGAAGCGCCGACAAUGGCGGCGGUGUUACCUGGCUCCGACAAGUAAUCCGGUCAACAAUCCAGCAGAUGAUGUUCGGGUUAUGAAAGAUGUUACUCUGAUGUUCUGUUUGGCGGUUCAGCAGAUGAUGGCUCGGUUCAGGCGACUGUGAUUCGGGUUACGUUUCGCUCAAGAUCUGCACUUUAAGAAUUUGUUAAAGGAAUAUGUAAUUUUAUUUUCUUUAUGUACGUAGAUUUUAUAUAUUUUUUGUGUGUAAAUUUGUAUAAAUUUAUGAUAUCUCUCGGAUGAUUUAUAAAUUUGUAAAUAUGUAAUGUUAUUAAAUUUGAAUAGUUUUUAGUUUUAUUUGCUUUU
rnacentral:lncRNA from 1 species